GGAGAGUGGAAAAAUGCGUAUCUUGAAAACCAGCUGAAGGCUCUUCAGAUGAAUUAUGCUUUAAACAAGGAGGCGAGGACUUUGCAACUAUUCAUGUAAAGCUCAAAUCCCAGGCAGUUAUAAAGCCCUGCAGUUGUUAAUGAGAUCUGGAGCUGCCUCCUGCUGGCCCUGGACACCCAGCUGAUUCUCAGGCACAGUCAGGCUCCUGCAUCAGCUUGUGCCCUCCCUUCAUUACAAGAGAAUACAAACAAGGAGUAGAAAAGAUUGGGUAGAGAUUUUGUGAAAAUGGAGAACGUAAAUAUAUAAAAAUGUUGUACUUGCAUCCAUCUAAAUGUCAGUCUGUCUGUUUUGAUAUUAAGCCACCACCAAUGGAAUUUCUUCAAGUUGAGGCAUGAAAAGGCUUGAUUUAGUCAGUUCAAUUUCUAUAGGAAUUUAUAAAUCAUCUGCCGGAGAACAGAAAUACUACUAUUGGUAUACAGGUGCAACUGUAGUCCCCCCACCCCCCUUUGGUUGAAAAGA